rnacentral:rRNA from 1 species
AUGAACGCUGGCGGCGUGCCUAAUACAUGCCAGUCGAGCGAACAGACGAGGAGCUUGCUCCUCUGACGUUAGCGGCGGACGGGUGAGUAACACGUGGAUAACCUACCUAUAAGACUGGGAUAACUUCGGGAAACCGGAGCUAAUACCGGAUAAUAUAUUGAACCGCAUGGUUCAAUAGUGAAAGACGGUUUUGCUGUCACUUAUAGAUGGAUCCGCGCCGCAUUAGCUAGUUGGUAAGGUAACGGCUUACCAAGGCGACGAUGCGUAGCCGACCUGAGAGGGUGAUCGGCCACACUGGAACUGAGACACGGUCCAGACUCCUACGGGAGGCAGCAGUAGGGAAUCUUCCGCAAUGGGCGAAAGCCUGACGGAGCAACGCCGCGUGAGUGAUGAAGGUCUUCGGAUCGUAAAACUCUGUUAUUAGGGAAGAACAAAUGUGUAAGUAACUAUGCACGUCUUGACGGUACCUAAUCAGAAAGCCACGGCUAACUACGUG